UAGGGAAUCUUCGGCAAUGGGGGCAACCCUGACCGAGCAACGCCGCGUGAGUGAAGAAGGUUUUCGGAUCGUAAAGCUCUGUUGUAAGAGAAGAACGUGUGUGAGAGUGGAAAGUUCACACAGUGACGGUAACUUACCAGAAAGGGACGGCUAACUACGUGCCAGCAGCCGCGGUAAUACGUAGGUCCCGAGCGUUGUCCGGAUUUAUUGGGCGUAAAGCGAGCGCAGGCGGUUUAAUAAGUCGGAAGUUAAAGGCAGUGGCUUAACCAUUGUUCGCUUUGGAAACUGUUAAACUUGAGUGCAGAAGGGGAGAGUGGAAUUCCAUGUGUAGCGGUGAAAUGCGUAGAUAUAUGGAGGAACACCGGUGGCGAAAGCGGCUCUCUGGUCUGUAACUGACGCUGAGGCUCGAAAGCGUGGGGAGCAAACAGG
rnacentral:rRNA from 1 species